ACACUGUAUGAGCUCAGUCGGUAGAGAGUAAGACUUAAUCUCAAGGUCAUGGGUUUGAUCCCCACGUUGGGUA